CACUUCAAUUAUGUUCGUGCCUUGUCAACUUCAAUAAUUUAUUGAAGGUUUGACUACCUCAAUGGUUAGCUAACUUAUUGCCUGAGAUAAAACACAAUCUCAACAACAUACAAGCAGCAGGUUCCGUCAUUCAAAACGAGAUGGAGUCUGGGCGAGGUACACCGCUAAAAUUCAUUCUCUCAUCAAUUUAGGCAAUUUUCAUGUUUCCCCAAUUUGUAACCCCCUACCCAAAUUAUCGCUCGCUACAAGGACAACACCCAAGUUCGUAGCAUUCUUUUUUACUGCUUCGCCACCACUAAUUGCGAAGGGAAGAUGUAAUAGACUAUGGCUGGCCAAAUCAAACUACAGGUUUUUUGAACCUUGAGCUAGAAUUUACCAGCAUCACGGGAUCUCCGUCAGGAACAACUGAGCUUGGGUGAGUCAUGUUAUAGACGCGGUGAGUUGAGGUUCUUUUUUAUCUCCGUUCCACUUGGGAGCAGUUUCUUCCUUAUUUAUAAGACAUGGUUUUUUGAUGUGACAUGUUAGGGAGGUAGUUAUGUGUCGUAUAUAUAAGUCAGGAUAACAUGUAUCCUAUUUAAGUUCGACACGUAUCCUAAACGUGUCUUUCUAAUAAAAUUCACACCUAAGUGUCAUCAUA